rnacentral:rRNA from 1 species
GGAUGCGAUCAUACCAGCACUAACGCACCGGAUCCCAUCAGAACUCCGAAGUUAAGCGUGCUUGGGCGAGAGUAGUACUAGGAUGGGUGACCCCCUGGGAAGUCCUCGUGUUUCAUCCC